rnacentral:rRNA from 1 species
UACGUAGGCAGCGAGCGUUGUUCGGAGUUACUGGGCGUAAAGGGUGUGUAGGCGGUUCUUCAAGUCUCUUGUGAAAUCCCUCGGCUUAACCGGGGAACUGCGUCCGAUACUGGAUGGCUUGAGUUCGGGAGAGGGAUGCGGAAUUCCAGGUGUAGCGGUGAAAUGCGUAGAUAUCAGGAGGAACACCGGUGGCGAAGGCAGGUCUCUGGGCAUUAACUGACGCUGAGGAGCGAAAGCAUGGGGAGCGAACAGG